rnacentral:rRNA from 1 species
GUGAGGAAUAUUGGUCAAUGGGCGCAAGCCUGAACCAGCCAUGCCGCGUGCAGGAUGACUGCCCUAUGGGUUGUAAACUGCUUUUAUACGGGAAGAAACCCCUCCACGUGUGGAGGAUUGACGGUACCGUAAGAAUAAGGAUCGGCUAACUCCGUGCCAGCAGCCGCGGUAAUACGGAGGAUCCAAGCGUUAUCCGGAAUCAUUGGGUUUAAAGGGUCCGUAGGCGGGUCUGUAAGUCAGUGGUGAAAUCUCCCGGCUCAACCGGGAAACUGCCAUUGAUACUGCAGGUCUUGAAUGUUUGUGAAGUAACUAGAAUAUGUAGUGUAGCGGUGAAAUGCUUAGAUAUUACAUGGAAUACCGAUUGCGAAGGCAGGUUACUAACAAAUGAUUGACGCUGAUGGACGAAAGCGUGGGGAGCGAACAGGAUUAGAAACCCGGGUAGUCC